rnacentral:sRNA from 1 species
CAGAUCGCUGGAAGGGGUCUGCAACCGGAAAUUCCGGUUAAAUCAUCAACUUGUACCCAUGUUGCUCAAUGGAGGACGUGGCUAUGAGAA